GGCAACAUUUUUGAAGUGGCAAAUUAGAUCAAGAAAAAGAAUAGUUUUCAUUUAAAGAAUUCCAGAUCAUUCCAUUCCAGUUUUGAUCCAAGUCUGCAACACAAUAUCUUUCUUUAGAGAAAACCAAAUACACAGCAGUGAAAGAUCUUGUAACGUCUAUCAUUUGCCUUUCAAUAAACACAAACGUGACACUGGACUCGCUCAUUAUCUUUUGCAGCUGUCAUGGAUCAUCUCAAUCUGCAAAAGCAAUACAGAAGCAGCUUCAGUGAGGACAUAAAGUGCUUGAAUAUCACACAAGAAGAAUAGUAUAGACUAGAGAGAGAGGGGCCCUGUCUGUUAAUUAUUGUAGAGAUUGACUAGAGAAACAGCACCAAAAUUCUUAUUUGAAGAAUUACCUGAGAGAGGGGAGGAGGAGGUGGGUUGUUUUGUAGGGGGGGUGGGGGAUUGGUUUGUUUUGUAGUAAUUCAACAUUGUUUAAUCAAAAUGAAAUAGGGAGGGAAAUUAUCAUAUUGCAGAAACCAGAAGCAAAUCAUUCAAUGUACAAGCUCACACCUAAAAUACAUUGCUAAAGAAAUGCAGCCAAUAGCGUGCCAAGCAAGUGAUUGUAAUGCUAACCUUUAUUUAUUGAUAUGGAAAAAGAUGCAGAAUUAAUCAUUAUCUUCUCGACCAUAGUUAUACACAAUCUCAAUCUGCAGUGCCAACCAAAUAUCAGAAUUAAAUGAGGAAAAAAAAUAAAAAAGGAAGCAAAUUAGAGAGCAAAAUAAUGAAUACAUCCACCAAGUUUACAUCCAUAUAUCAACUUAGUUACAACCAAAUAUCAACUACAGCUUGGUUCUGACACUGCAUUUCGCAUUGAGGUAACAACUGAUAUAAAUGGAAAUAGCACAAUAAAAACAGUGGGUGGGACCUUUACCUAGAUUAGGAUUGCUCCCUCCCUUCUUCCCUACCUGCUCUAGAGUAUCUCUCCAGUUUAUGCUACUAUUACUACAAUACUUGAAGAACAAAACAAUGGAUUCUCAAGAAAAAAUAAAAAAACUCAGAUUCACCUUAAGAACAAUAGGUCAUCAAAACAAGAUGACCAUCAACCAUGAGAUUGUACCACACGUAAGUCGCCCAUACAAAGUUCAGAGGCAUGCAUUAAACAAUGUAUUCCCCAAACCUACUUUAGGCCACCCAUUCUGAUUCAGAAUGUGUAAAUAGAAAUGACAUUAUCCAAGGAAUGUAUAUUUGCACGUAUACAUUUCAACUACAAAUUAAGAAUACAAAAGCAAACUCAGGUCUAGAAAUUUUAACUUCCACAAUACACAAGCACAUAAAAGUAUUGAUUACAACAGCUCAGUGUCAUUCUAAACAAAAAAAAGACACAGAAAGGAAGGAGAAUGAAUAAUUGAAAAGAAAAUAAAAUGACCGUAUAUAGACAAGAUCAGUAAAUUGUAAUUGAUUACCCCAGAAGGUGGAGUUGGAUUUCGAGUAAACUUGCUACCGCCAGGAGCCCAAGGAACUGUACAAAAAUGAGAUCAGCAGUUAGACAACUCAUUAAAAGCUAUAAAACUGGGAAAUUGCCACAAUAAAGCUGCAUAUUCUCUGAAACAUACAGGCCAAUUAUGUGCACUACAAUAAGAAGAAAAAAAUAUAUAAAUUUUGUUGAUUCCCUUUCAUGCAAAUAAUUCCUCUUUGUACACAGUUUGAACUCCUUGGCGCCCUUUAGUGCACAAUGCCAAACCAUGUAAAUCCAAGUGUCUUGUUUCUCUCUCUCUGUGCAUCUUAUUUUAACGUAAGUUUGCUACAUAGUUAAUUUUCUGAAAAGAACCUUUCAAAAUUUUGCUCCAAGAAGUGACUGCUUUGAGGCCUCACACCAACAACCUCAUAAAAGAUCUUACAAUUUAACCAGACAAUGACCCUUGCUAAGAGCAAUAUGGCUAAACUGAAACAAUUUUUAACAAUGAGCAUAGAGAAACAAAGACAUAUUUGGGUAAUCCGUGAUGCUGUCCUUAUUGUUUUGGUGUAGACGUGUAGUACCAAAAAGAGUCAAUUAAUGUCAUUCCAGAAAACACCUCCCCAUGCCCAGUUGCCAACACUGAUAGGGAGGAAAAACUUGAAAAGUUAUUAGGGAAGACACAGAAUAAUUUUCUUCAACUUAUCUGAUUCUUGCUUGCUUGAAAACCUGAUAAUGGCAAGGGGCAAUGGGAAAGAAAACUGGCCAAACUCCAACUGAAUCCUAGAAAACCAUCCAAAAUAGAAGCAACAAAGUCAAGGAAGUACCCUAGCAUAACCUGCUUUCCCAUUAUGCUAUUUUUGGGAUAUCUUCAUGGCUUCAACAGUUCAAUAUUUACUCAAGACCAUAAAAAUACAAGAUAUAAAGCUUUGCUAAUCUACGAAACCAUUCUUUCAUCAGAAAAGAAUCAAACUGUAAACAUAAUUAGAAGAAGAAACCCCAUAAAAGAAUGGUGCUGCAGUCAAUUGAGCUAUCAUCCAAUUGGGGGACAAAUAUCCACUAUCUACCUGAAGCAAAGCAUUCUCAACUUCUUCAAAUAAGCUAUAGCAUGCAAAGCAAUUCUCUCAUUCCAAGACCUUUCCAAAGAUAAAAUAAGCUUUUCUAAGAGAAAGCUGAAUGCGCAUAAAACAAAUCCUCAAUGAACGGGUAAGAUAUAUAUAUAAAUAAAUUUGUGCAGAAAGACAGGCUUCAUGAAACCAAAUAAAUUGUGCUGAGAAGCAAGCUUAAAAUGUAUUCAACCAUCAUCAUCUUGUGGCAUUCCGCUCUUAAAUUCUUAUUUCUUUCACAUUUUAACUUUAUAAAAAGGAUCCAAGAGGCAAUCAUCGUCUACCAAAACAAUCUUUAGCUACACGUAAUUAGAAUUUAUAAACAACUGACCUACAAAUAAUUGCAAAUAUCACCAAUAAAACCAAGAAUCAAAAUGCAGUCCAGAAAAAGAACCAAAAGCACAAUUCGACCAUUAAAUUACUUACCGAUGUAAGGAUCAGGGUGCCGCCACUUAUUAUACCGUGCCUCACCUUCUGCAAUCAUUCUAUCAAUUGCGUCCAGAUCCUCCACAUGCUUGUUGGCGUCGAACUUCUCGCGGAGGUUGGAGGCAUCUUGAUAGAAGAGGUGACGAUGGACGGCCCAAUUGAGAGUGUCUCUGAGGGCUCGGCGGUAGAGGAUCUGAACUCUCUCCUUCUGUGCUGCUCUCCUCGCUAAGUACGCCGCUGUUGACACGCUCAUCUCUCUCUCUCUCCCCAGACUCUUCUCGCUGCUUUCUUUGAGAAAAGGAAAUGCAAUCGCACAGUGGAAGCAAAGCAGAAGCGGCGUCGUUUAAGUCGAUUAAUUUUUUUAUCAGUGGAGACGAACGAUGUCGUUCUCAG
rnacentral:misc_RNA from 1 species